UUUCUCGUGGUGAAGCUGGCAACGCACCUGUUUAGUGAGUAAGAGUCGUAAGUUCGAAUCUCACCGAGAGGA
rnacentral:tRNA from 1 species